AUAGAAAUUAUGAAUUACAAUAAUUUCUUGAAUCAAUAAUCUUUCCCUAAGCUUAGCAUGAAUAAGCUUAUCAUAGUAAAGAGUUUAUGAUAUACACAAACUGAAUAAAUUCUAAAUAAUAGAUAAUUCAUGCUAAACUGCUAAAGUACAUGAAUUGAACAAAACGAAAACUGACUAUAAAUGCUUUAACAAUUUGCUUGCGAAAUACUGAAUUUAUAGUAAAACAUCUCUACAAUGGCAAAUAAAACUUCAAAUUACUCGCCCUUGAUUACAGGUGGCGCACGAUCCGUUAACGUCCAAGGCGUUUCUAACCUCAAGUUUAAGGUAGAGACCGAUAGCAACCACGUGAUCAGUAAAAAUCGUGUAUUUUCACGUGAAAUUAUUUUUCGGAAUUCCGUACAUCGCCAUAGAGUAGUUGAAAAACAAAAAGGGGUUCCGAAAGUACAAGUUGCUGUGACUGAAUCGAUGAUUGAGAGGGUCGUCUCGACGAAAGAUAUAGAAAUUUGGCCAUAGUUUAGAUUAGGAAUACGUCAAUGUAAUAAUAGUGGACUAAAUGUUUCGUCCGUGCAGAAUGGCACUUUUUACCUCACGAAAUUCACCACCAUGCAUAGCUGCGCUACGUAAACAAAGGUGUUGAUGUAGCGUGAUCGUCCGAGUGCUGCGAGUUUCAAUACUGUUUAUGUAGUCAUUGAGAGUUUAAACAAAGUUUCUUCUGAGAAGAGGAAUUCGAUGGAUGCAUUCAACGUGGACAACGAAAUCAUAAUUUCGUUUGCAUCAUCCUAAGGACCAGUGCAAGUUGAAAUGGGCUUCCAGCCAACAACUUCAACAGCAAUUUGCCUUGAAAAUCAUCAAGAAAGGUACUUCAUUUACAUUGAUGAUGUCAUAUCCCCUGGACCCCACAACUUUACAGGUUACAGAGAAAAUUCAAGAACUUCUGCAAAAUGUGGGACUUGGAUAGAAUCAAUAAUAUAUUUGUGAGCCCAGAGCAAUGGAUAUAUUGUGCAACAUACUAAAGUGUGAAUUUAAUGGAAAACAAGUACAUGUACUCAUGUAUUACAUGUCUUUUUUAAAGACAAUAAUAUUGUAUAAAUAUAGAGGAAGUGUCAUUGUUGAUUAUUCUAAGUUUUUGAUAUAUCAAAAUCAGUAAACAUUUCUAAAUGAAAAUAAAAUACCAAUUUUAUAACUUUAAUCAAUGUGUUUGAAUUUCUCAUUUUCUAACCC